GAUGAACGCUGGCGGCGUGCUUAACACAUGCAAGUCGAACGGACAGGCCCUGCUUUUGUGGGGUGCUCGAGUGGCGAGCGGGUGAGUAUCACGUGUGUAAACCGCCCUUGUCUUUGGGAUAUCUUCAGGAAACUGGGGCGCAUAUCGGAUAGAAGCUCUUGCUGCGUGGUGGGGGUUGGUGAGUUUCGGCUGUUGGGGCUGGACUCGCGGCUUAUCAGCUUGUUGGUGGGGUAGUGGCUUACCAAGCCUUUGACGGGUAGCCGGCCUGAGAGGGUGACCGGCCACAUUGGGACUGAGAUACGGCCCAGACUCCUACGGGAGGCAGCAGUGGGGAAUAUUGCACAAUGGGCGGAAGCCUGAUGCAGCAACGCCGCGUGCGGGAUGACGGCCUUCGGGUUGUAAACCGCUUUCGCCUGUGACGAAGCGUGAGUGACGGUAAUGGGUAAAGAAGCACCGGCUAACUACGUG
rnacentral:rRNA from 1 species